rnacentral:lncRNA from 1 species
AAUGUUGUAGGGACACCUUCAUAAUGCUUCAAGUAUGCCUGAACUGCUACGACAAAUGUGCCAUUUUUCUCCUUUUUCAUCAGUCCUCACUUGUGUCUUGUCAUCUAAAGUCCAGGAAGAGACGGACCAUGCAGUUGGCAGACACUGGAGGCCCUGCAUGCAGGACAGGAGCCACAUGCCCUACACAGAAGCCAUGGUGCAUGAGGUCCAGAGACACUGACCUCACCCCACCAAUGUGCCCCAUGCACUGACCUCUGACAUUAAAUUUAGAAACUACCUCCUCCCCAAGGU